rnacentral:rRNA from 1 species
CUUAACACAUGCAAGUCGAGGGGCAGCAUGGUCUUAGCUUGCUAAGGCCGAUGGCGACCGGCGCACGGGUGAGUAACGCGUAUCCAACCUGCCUUACACUCUUGGACAGCCUUCUGAAAGGGAGAUUAAUACAAGAUGUUAUCAUGAGUAAGCAUUUUCGCAUGAUUAAAGGUUUACCGGUGUAAGAUGGGGAUGCGUUCCAUUAGAUAGUAGGCGGGGUAACGGCCCACCUAGUCUUCGAUGGAUAGGGGUUCUGAGAGGAAGGUCCCCCACAUUGGAACUGAGACACGGUCCAAACUCCUACGGGAGGCAGCAGUGAGGAAUAUUGGUCAAUGGACGAGAGUCUGAACCAGCCAAGUAGCGUGAAGGAUGAAGGUUCUAUGGAUUGUAAACUUCUUUUAUACGGGAAUAAACGAAUCCACGCGUGGAUUUUUGCAUGUACCGUAUGAAUAAGGAUCGGCUAACUCCGUGCCAGCAGCCGCGGUAAUACGGAGGAUCCGAGCGUUAUCCGGAUUUAUUGGGUUUAAAGGGAGCGUAGAUGGGUUGUUAAGUCAGUUGUGAAAGUUUGCGGCUCAACCGUAAAAUUGCAAUUGAUACUGGCAGUCUUGAGUACAGUUGAGGUAGGCGGAAUUCGUGGUGUAGCGGUGAAAUGCUUAGAUAUCACGAAGAACUCCGAUUGCGAAGGCAGCUUACUAACCUGUAACUGACAUUGAUGCUCGAAAGUGUGGGUAUCAAACAGGAUUAGAUACCCUGGUAGUCCACACGGUAAACGAUGAAUACUCGCUGUAGGCGAUAUACAGUCUGCGGCCAAGCGAAAGCAUUAAGUAUUCCACCUGGGGAGUACGCCGGCAACGGUGAAACUCAAAGGAAUUGACGGGGGCCCGCACAAGCGGAGGAACAUGUGGUUUAAUUCGAUGAUACGCGAGGAACCUUACCCGGGCUUAAAUUGCAACCGAAUAUGGCGGAAACGCUAUAGCUAGCAAUAGCGGUUGUGAAGGUGCUGCAUGGUUGUCGUCAGCUCGUGCCGUGAGGUGUCGGCUUAAGUGCCAUAACGAGCGCAACCCUUGCCGAUAGUUACUAACAGGUCAUGCUGAGGACUCUGUCGGGACUGCCAUCGUAAGAUGUGAGGAAGGUGGGGAUGACGUCAAAUCAGCACGGCCCUUACGUCCGGGGCUACACACGUGUUACAAUGGGGGGUACAGAGGGCUGCUACCACGCAAGUGGAUGCCAAUCCCAAAAACCUCUCUCAGUUCGGAUUGAAGUCUGCAACCCGACUUCAUGAAGCUGGAUUCGCUAGUAAUCGCGCAUCAGCCACGGCGCGGUGAAUACGUUCCCGGGCCUUGUACACACCGCCCGUCAAGCCAUGGGAGCCGGGGGUACCUGAAGUGCGUAACCGCAAGGAGCGCCCUAGGGUAAAACUGGUGACUGGGGCUAAGUC